UUCCAAGAACAGGAGCUGUGUUUUUUCGGUUAAUGGUGAUGGAGGAGAACUCAGCCAUUUUUCAGUUUUAACACCCUUUCUGGUAGCUGAGAGCAUGUUUGUAUCUGAGUGUUGCUGCAGUUCUACAAGAGACCUCGUGCUUUCCAAGCCCUUUUAUGUUCCUAGGUAAAAUGAAGUGUGCAAUUGUGGAAAAGAGCUUGAGACUGAACAGUUGUUGAAGGUUUCUGGUUCCAGUGGUUGGGACGUGGAUCUCAGCACUCAGAGAAUGAGUUUGAAGAAACUGACAAGGAAGAAUGAGAAGAAAAGGAGAAAUGGA